rnacentral:rRNA from 1 species
GUGAGGAAUUUUCCGCAAUGGGCGAAAGCCUGACGGAGCAAUGCCGCGUGAAGGAUGAAGGCCUAUGGGUUGUAAACUUCUUUUCUCAGAAAAGAAUUAUGACGGUAUCUGAGGAAUAAGCAUCGGCUAACUCUGUGCCAGCAGCCGCGGUAAGACAGAGGAUGCAAGCGUUAUCCGGAAUGAUUGGGCGUAAAGCGUCUGUAGGUUGUUUAAAAAGUAUUCUGUCAAAGAUUAGGGCUUAACCCUAGAUAGGCAGAAUAAACUUUUAAGCUAGAGUUUGGUAGAGGCAGAGGGAAUUCCCGGGGGAGCGGUGAAAUGCGUAGAUAUCGGGAGGAACACCAAAGGCGAAGGCACUCUGCUGGGCCAAUACUAACACUGAGAGACGAAAGCGAGGGGAGCAAAUGGGAUUAGAUACCCUGGUAGUCC